rnacentral:rRNA from 1 species
UGCGUAGGCGGGUCUUUAAGUCAGGGGUGAAAUCCUGGAGCUCAACUCCAGAACUGCCUUUGAUACUGAAGAUCUUGAGUUCGGGAGAGGUGAGUGGAACUGCGAGUGUAGAGGUGAAAUUCGUAGAUAUUCGCAAGAACACCAGUGGCGAAGGCGGGCUCACUGGCCCGAUACUGACGCUGAGGCACGAAAGCGUGGGGAGCAAACA